ACGUACACUCCUACGGGAGGCAGCAGUGGGGAAUUUUGGACAAUGGGCGAAAGCCUGAUCCAGCCAUGCCGCGUGCAGGAUGAAGGCCUUCGGGUUGUAAACUGCUUUUGUACGGAACGAAACGGCGUUUUCUAAUAAAGAGGGCUAAUGACGGUACCGUAAGAAUAAGCACCGGCUAACUACGUGCCAGCAGCCGCGGUAAUACGUAGGGUGCAAGCGUUAAUCGGAAUUACUGGGCGUAAAGCGUGCGCAGGCGGUUAUGUAAGACAGUUGUGAAAUCCCCGGGCUCAACCUGGGAACUGCAUCUGUGACUGCAUAGCUAGAGUACGGUAGAGGGGGAUGGAAUUCCGCGUGUAGCAGUGAAAUGCGUAGAUAUGCGGAGGAACACCGAUGGCGAAGGCAAUCCCCUGGACCUGUACUGACGCUCAUGCACGAAAGCGUGGGGAGCAAACAGGAUUAGAUACCCUAGUAGUCCCAUG
rnacentral:rRNA from 1 species